rnacentral:tRNA from 2 species
GCCCCUAUAGUUUAAUGGCAAAACGCAAGCAUGGUAAGCUUGAAAUACAAGUUCGAUUCUCGUUGGGGGCACCA